rnacentral:rRNA from 1 species
CCUACGGGAGGCAGCAGUGGGGAAUUUUGGACAAUGGGGGCAACCCUGAUCCAGCCAUGCCGCGUGCAGGAAGAAGGUCCUAUGGAUUGUAAACUGCUUUAGUGCGGGAGCAAUAAGGUCCACGAGUGGACCGAUGAGAGUACCGCAAGAAUAAGCAUCGGCUAACUCCGUGCCAGCAGCCGCGGUAAUACGGGGGAUGCGAGCGUUAUCCGGAUUUAUUGGGUUUAAAGGGUGCGUAGGCGGUCUGUCAAGUCGGCGGUGAAAACAGCAUGCUAAACAUGGUGCUUGCCGUCGAGACUGGUGGGCUUGAAUGUGGAUGAUGCCGGCGGAAUGUGUAAAGUAGCGGUGAAAUGCAUAGAUAUUACACAGAAGGUCGAUUGCGAAAGCAGCUGGCAAAGGCACGAUUGACGCUGAGGCACGAAAGUGCGGGGAUCGAACAGGAUUAGAUACCCUGGUAGUCCGCACAGUAAACGAUGAUAACUAACUGUCGGCGAUACAAUGUCGGUGGUAAAGAGAAAUCGAUAAGUUAUCCACCUGGGGAGUACGACCGCAAGGUUGAAACUCAAAUGAAUUGACGG